rnacentral:lncRNA from 1 species
CCACACUCCUAGUCAUAUGAGCUAAAAAGUUGCACAUUUAAUCUUUGGGAAGAUAUAAAGAAAAAGACAUAUAUAUAGAUAGAUUAUCUUUCCAUUAGGUGGAGCGAUCUGAUCCGGCAAAUGUUUUAAAUGCUACACUCAUGAACUUAUCAUUCAUCAACUUUGUCUUGCUCACCAUGCUUAAGGUUAGAGAAGAACAAAUACACUUUUGGUUCUGUUGGUGUUUUCCACCAACAGGGCCCAUGCACUUGAUCUCCGCCUUGUCUCUAUGAGCAGGUACACUACGAGCACAAAUACACUGAGCAGGAUACUGCCGACGCCGCACUUCGAACUACUGGGCAAACGAAGAACAUGGAUGACACCGUAUUAAGAGGUGCAAAUGUCAAGGUCCACACCUGAAUCAAAUGACGCACCUAAAGAAUGAACACGGUGAGAAGUCUUGUUCAGAAGACUUAAAACAAUGAACCCUCGCUGAAAGGUAAAAUCGGUAGUUAUCCAUAUUUAUCCUUUUUGCAUUCCCUUUUCCCUUUAAUUAUUUACUUUCCUUAAAUGGCUUGUUAGUUAAUCAUGCUAUCUUGACAAGAAAAUAAAAAUGUUAGUAAGCCCCAUAUGAGUAUGCUCGUGGCAUAAAACCCAUAAGUACAUUCACUGUGGUGGCGUAAAAAUAAAUAUAUUUCUGUCCUAUAGAAAUGAAAGUAUAAAAAUAAAUUUAUGAUCCUACCAAAGAGAGUAAUAUUUAUUAGAGGAAGCUCAACAUGAUAAAGGCUAAGAGAUUUUAUGCUAACACUUAACCAGUUCCACAAGGCUUUGUUGUCUAUUUGAGCUCCACAGAAUUCAAGGAUCAAAGAAGACUAGUAGACGGAGGACAUUCUAAUCGCUGUCACUGUGCUGCCGACAUUCAAAUACACCUCCGCCACCUGCUAGCUACAUCAGAAGAAAUUACGUCAAAAUCCAGCUUGGGGGAGAGCACCCCCAUUUAUCCAGCUAAGUAUUUCUAUCUAUGUUUAUAAUUAUACUUUGUUAAAAUAAUAAAAAGAUGCAUAAUCAUAAAACCCAAAUAAAGAUUUUAUGGUUAUAUAUAUAUCUUUUCUUAGUUUGCUAAAUAAAUAAAUAAAUAAAGUUUGCUAUUCACCCUCAUGAUAAGCUCUCACAUGGAAAUGAUGAAUAGUUCCUCUGCCAUGACUAGUUCUCAAAAGUGAAAUCUCUCUCAAGUUUAGGUAUGACUGUUAUGAAUUAAGAUUUUCUCUAAAACAUGAACUUGUGGGAAGAGUACUUGAUCUAAAGUCUAAGUCGUUAACGGAUAUGAUAUGGGAAGGUUGAGCUGCUGUUUAUCUGUUCCUAGAGAUGCUAGAAUUCUGGAGAAUUUUAUCUUUGCAAAUCUUUAAAAUGUUGCAUGAUGAGUUCCUGUAUGAUGAGAGUUUAAAAUCCUACCACAGCCAUAUAUGCAUGCUUAUUAGACUAUGAACCAUACAUUUACUUUUUACUGCUUAUGAGCAUUGAGUAUGGUCAAGCUAUGUAGACCCUUAGAAGCUUGUCAUGCGGUUAAAAUCAAGAUUCACUUGCACGUUCACUCAUACAUGCUGCUUCUACUCCGGAAGUACGCAUCCACAUAUAUCCACUCCACUCUAUCUCCAGAUUCACCCAAAAUUAUUCUACUCCUAUCCAGGAGAGAAUAGCCAAAAACAUUAUCCUAUCCCUGUUAUUCCCUGUGAAAUAAAUGCUCGAGAUAUUUUGGUUACUACCACUUGCUACAUCAUUCUAGGAGGGUGAGUGCUCUGAAAAAAAAAGAGAAAAAAAAUACGAGGAAAUAAAAAGGGGCAAGUGCCCGGAACCUCGAAAGAAAACAAAAAGUGAGACGAGAGGUAAAAAUGGACAGGUGUCCGACAGUAGAAUUAGGGGUACAAGAUACCCACCUGAGAGAAAAAAAAAGAAAGAAAAGAAAACAUAGAGCAUCUCAUUCCCCUCAAAAAGCUUCAAAGUGAAAGAAAGGUAUGUAUCCCCUCAAAAGAGCAAAAGUAGAAUUAGACUUUCACCAUUGUUUUCACCAUUAUCACCAUCAUCACCAUACACCAUUCAUUCGCCACACAUGCACAUCUUGAUUUGACUUAUUGACUUGUUUGUCUGGAUCCAUGGUUUGACUAUGCAAUAAAUGUCUUGUAAGUAUGUAUUAGCUGUCUCCCACCUAUGAGCUCCAGAUAUCAAACCUUAUUAGAGUAGGGUGAGAGAGAAGGCAAUAUCACUAUGCCUUAUACCACAAAUACUACAUACUUUGAGAGAAGGCGUAUGUUAUCACUGCCUUAGUAAGGAUCCAAAAAUACCACAAAAGAGAGACUAGAGAGAGUCAUAGAAGGAAUCUCUGAGUUUUAUUUGAAAAUCUGCAAAAACUCUAGAGCUAUAGUUGAUCAAAGAACAAGAGACAUGGUGCUUGACUUGACCGUUCUAUCUUUUAACUGCUCAAGACACAAGUGACGGUUGCAAGCCCCAUGGUGGAAGGUAAUAUAAGUAAGUUUAAAUCUUAACAGUUUACCGUAACCUAGAGAUGAGAUUUUGUUUGAACGCAUGUGUACCUUUAAGGCAUAAAACCACUGUAGAAACUCUUGAGUUCAUCCUUGCUCAGGGACGAGCAAGAGGUAAGCUUGGGGGAGUUGUUGAUGGUCCUUAAGUACCAAAUAUAAUCAUCAUAUAAAUAAAGAAAAGGAUCCAAAUACAAGCAACAUCUAAACUUAGGGUUUUAUCUCACAGAAUUCUACGAGUUUUGGUGUUUGUCUAUUUCUGUAGGGGGUUAUCAGGAAAUACGGAAGAAAGGCCCACACGUCGGGUUUACAUAGAGAUAUUAACGUGCCGCGCAAUUUUCUAUCAUCUAGAAGACUCCAGAAGCCACGGGAACGAACGGGAGGCUGAGCGGGCUCGGGGGCAGGGCGCCCGCCCACCCCCCUGGGGCGUCCGCCCAGCUACAGAGUUGGAUCAGGACUCUCUUUCGGCAUGAUGUUCCACCGACCUAAAGGAUCAAGGAUAACCGUUCAAUCAAUGUCGGUUUGAUCCAACGGCCCAGGUUCACUUGAGGAGACUAUAAAACCAGACCCCCUGGCCUCUAGAGGAGGCACCCCUUGAUCAUUAUUCAUUAUUCAUAGACAGAGCAAAAGCUAGGGUUUAGAGAUGAGAGCUCUCCUCUCUUCUCUAAACUAGAGUAGAUCUAGAUAGUAGCGAGAUGGAGAGCGAAGGAGGAUUAGAGGAGAGGCCAGCC